CUUGAAACUUGUCUGUCCAAGGCAAACGAAGAGUUGCACGAAAAAAUGAAAGACAACAGAGCACUGAAGGAACAGCUGAAAGCGUAUGAAAGGUCUAACCGUGGGAAAGGAGAAAGGAAAAAAUUAGUGGCCGGAGAUUGGCAAAGCAAUGCCUCUGAAGCUGCUGCUUAUGCUCUAAGAGUAC